UACGUAGGGUGCAAGCGUUGUCCGGAAUUAUUGGGCGUAAAGAGCUCGUAGUCGGUUUGUCGCGUCUGCUGUGAAACCCCGAGGCUCAACCUCGGGCCUGCAGUGGGUACGGGCAGACUAGAGUGCGGUAGGGGAGAUUGGAAUUCCUGGUGUAGCGGUGGAAUGCGCAGAUAUCAGGAGGAACACCGAUGGCGAAGGCAGGUCACUGGGCCGCAACUGACGCUGAGGAGCGAAAGCAUGGGGAGCGAACAGG
rnacentral:rRNA from 1 species